rnacentral:sRNA from 1 species
UCGAAAGGAUGGUGGUUCGAGUCCACCCUAGAGCG